AUAAGCUUUCUCUUGAGUAUUUAAAGCGAAAUUUCCCUAACCUAAUCGUUGUCGACUGCCCCAGUCAUCACCGCCACUUCCGCUUCCUCUCCUCGUCACCCUAGCCAUUUCGCGAGGUUUUGCCAACCGCCCCCGUCCGACGCUGCCGCCGGCGAUCUCAGAGCCGCAGCCUCUCUCUGAACCGGCCGACGUAGCCGUAAUCCAACUCUCCUAAUCAUCGUUCAAGCUGUCUUCGUACAGACUAUAGCUUCCACGUAGACGAAGAAAUAGAGCGGAACCGAAGCGAUUCAGAGUACAUUCCAAAAUGCAGCAGCAAAAGGGUUCGGGAUCGGAGGUCGAAGUGACGUGGGAAGAUCAGCUGAACAUCAACAAGUUUGGCAGACUGAAUAAUAGGUUCCACGAGCUCGAGGACGAGAUCAAAAUCGCUAAGG